CCGUUGUACCAUGAAAACAUUU
rnacentral:miRNA from 1 species